rnacentral:rRNA from 1 species
AGCUCAGAUUGAACGCUGGCGGCAGGCCUAACACAUGCAAGUCGAGCGGUAGCACAGAGAGCUUGCUCUCGGGUGACGAGCGGCGGACGGGUGAGUAAUGUCUGGGAAACUGCCUGAUGGAGGGGGAUAACUACUGGAAACGGUAGCUAAUACCGCAUAACGUCGCAAGACCAAAGUGGGGGACCUUCGGGCCUCAUGCCAUCAGAUGUGCCCAGAUGGGAUUAGCUAGUAGGUGGGGUAAUGGCUCACCUAGGCGACGAUCCCUAGCUGGUCUGAGAGGAUGACCAGCCACACUGGAACUGAGACACGGUCCAGACUCCUACGGGAGGCAGCAGUGGGGAAUAUUGCACAAUGGGCGCAAGCCUGAUGCAGCCAUGCCGCGUGUAUGAAGAAGGCCUUCGGGUUGUAAAGUACUUUCAGCGAGGAGGAAGGCGUUAAGGUUAAUAACCUUGGCGAUUGACGUUACUCGCAGAAGAAGCACCGGCUAACUCCGUGCCAGCAGCCGCGGUAAUACGGAGGGUGCAAGCGUUAAUCGGAAUUACUGGGCGUAAAGCGCACGCAGGCGGUCUGUCAAGUCGGAUGUGAAAUCCCCGGGCUCAACCUGGGAACUGCAUUCGAAACUGGCAGGCUAGAGUCUUGUAGAGGGGGGUAGAAUUCCAGGUGUAGCGGUGAAAUGCGUAGAGAUCUGGAGGAAUACCGGUGGCGAAGGCGGCCCCCUGGACAAAGACUGACGCUCAGGUGCGAAAGCGUGGGGAGCAAACAGGAUUAGAUACCCUGGUAGUCCACGCCGUAAACGAUGUCGACUUGGAGGUUGUGCCCUUGAGGCGUGGCUUCCGGAGCUAACGCGUUAAGUCGACCGCCUGGGGAGUACGGCCGCAAGGUUAAAACUCAAAUGAAUUGACGGGGGCCCGCACAAGCGGUGGAGCAUGUGGUUUAAUUCGAUGCAACGCGAAGAACCUUACCUACUCUUGACAUCCAGAGAACUUAGCAGAGAUGCUUUGGUGCCUUCGGGAACUCUGAGACAGGUGCUGCAUGGCUGUCGUCAGCUCGUGUUGUGAAAUGUUGGGUUAAGUCCCGCAACGAGCGCAACCCUUAUCCUUUGUUGCCAGCGAUUAGGUCGGGAACUCAAAGGAGACUGCCAGUGAUAAACUGGAGGAAGGUGGGGAUGACGUCAAGUCAUCAUGGCCCUUACGAGUAGGGCUACACACGUGCUACAAUGGCAUAUACAAAGAGAAGCGACCUCGCGAGAGCAAGCGGACCUCAUAAAGUAUGUCGUAGUCCGGAUUGGAGUCUGCAACUCGACUCCAUGAAGUCGGAAUCGCUAGUAAUCGUAGAUCAGAAUGCUACGGUGAAUACGUUCCCGGGCCUUGUACACACCGCCCGUCACACCAUGGGAGUGGGUUGCAAAAGAAGUAGGUAGCUUAACCUUCGGGAGGGCGCUUACCACUUUGUGAUUCAUGACUGGGGUGAAGUCGUAACAAGGUAACCGUAGGGGAACCUGCGGCUGGAUA